GUCUUAUGGAUGCAAUUACCAGAAAGGCACCUUUGCACAGGUAAAACUUUCAGUAUCACAUAAAAAUAGUAGCAUUCUGGUUUGAAGAGAUUCAAUCUCCAUGGAGGACUUGGCUGUGAAAGCAAGGAAUUGAAAUAAUAUCUCUGACUGCAAUAAGAAAAUAUUUCCUUUUUCUUACCUUCAGUAAUCGAGAGAUGGGCUCACUGAGACACUCUACAUUGAAGAUAGAAAGAGAUCCCAGUCUAGUAGAUCCUAAAAUAUUGGAAGAAAGAAAACCUUUAGGAGGAGGAGGUUCAUGCUCAGUGCUUCAAGGAGAUCCCAGGCAGUCACAGCACAUCCAUCACACCUCAAAUCUGUUGUCACCUUGGGUGAAUCUGCCCCAUGGGAAGAGCUCUGGGGAGAGCAGUAACCAGGCCAGGUCGGACAGCCAGCGGAGUGCAGCCGUUCCACGCUUCGGAGGCGCCAGCACCUUCCAUGGUUCCAGCCUGGCCGUGGUGGAGCAGUGCCUGAGGGCAGAGGAGCAGCGGGCUCGGCACCAGGCACUGCUCCUGCAGCUCCGGAGAAAGGCUCUGAGGGAGAGGGCCAGCGCCGAGCUGGCCUGGCUGGGCCACCGGAGACGGUGAGGGGCAAGGGGGCACCACCACUGUCCCCAUGCUGGGCCAGGACAGCUUUUCUUCCUUUCAGGGGAGCACAAUAAAUGUAAAAUCUUCUUAGAAAGCA
rnacentral:lncRNA from 1 species